rnacentral:tRNA from 1 species
GCUGCGAAGGCCAAGUAGUUAAGGCGGUGGACUCAAAAUCUAAUUGAAUAUUUCCGUGAUGGUUCGAAUCCUGUUUGAAGCG